rnacentral:rRNA from 1 species
UACGUAGGGUGCAAGCGUUGUCCGGAAUUAUUGGGCGUAAAGAGCUCGUAGGCGGUCUGUCGCGUCUGCUGUGAAAACUCAGGGCUUAACCCUGAGCUUGCAGUGGGUACGGGCAGACUAGAGUGCGGUAGGGGAGGCUGGAAUUCCUGGUGUAGCGGUGAAAUGCGCAGAUAUCAGGAGGAACACCAAUAGCGAAGGCAGCUCGCUGGGACGGUACUGACGCUAAGGCGCGAAAGCGUGGGGAGCGAACAGG